rnacentral:piRNA from 1 species
GACACUUUCAUUGGGUCUGCUUCCUGUCUC